rnacentral:rRNA from 1 species
GACGAACGCUGGCGGCGCGCUUAACACAUGCAAGUCGAACGGAAAGGCCUGCUUUCCCUUGUGGAUUGCGGGUACUCGAGUGGCGAACGGGUGAGUAACACGUGAGUGAUCUGCCCCCAACUUGGGUAUAAGCCUGGGAAACUGGGUCUAAUUCCCGAUAGGACUGCAGGGUGGUGCCUGUGGUGGAAAACGAUUUUCUAGUGGUUGGGGAUGAGCUCGCGGCCUAUCAGCUUGUUGGUGGGGUAAUGGCCUACCAAGGCGGCGACGGGUAGCCGGCCUGAGAGGGUGGACGGCCACAUUGGGACUGAGAUACGGCCCAGACUCCUACGGGAGGCAGCAGUGGGGAAUAUUGCACAAUGGGCGGAAGCCUGACGCAGCGACGCCGCGUGGGGGAUGACGGCCUUCGGGUUGUAAACUCCUUUCGACCGCGAGGAAGCCACCUGGUUGGAAGGGUGGUGACGGUAGUGGUAGAAGAAGCACCGGCUAACUACGUG